UGGGGGAUAUUGCACAAUGGGCGAAAGCCUGAUGCAGCGACGCCGCGUGGGGGAUGAAGGCUUUCGGGUUGUAAACCUCUUUCGCUAUCGAACAAGGCCCGCUUAGGGUGGGUUGAGGGUAGGUGGAGAAGAAGCGCCGGCUAACUACGUGCCAGCAGCCGCGGUAAUACGGAGGGCGCGAGCGUUGUCCGGAAUUAUUGGGCGUAAAGGGCUUGUAGGCGGCUUGUUGCGCCUGCUGUGAAAACGCGGGGCUUAACUUCUCGCGUGCAGUGGGUACGGGCAGUCUUGAGUGUGGUAGGGGUGACUGGAAUGCCAGGUGUAGCGAUGGAAUGCGCAGAUAUCUGGAGGAACACCGAUGGCGAAGGCAGGUCACUGGGCCAUUACUGACGCUGAGGAGCGAAAGCAUGCGUAGCGAACAGG
rnacentral:rRNA from 1 species